rnacentral:rRNA from 1 species
UAAUUGAAGAGUUUGAUCAUGGCUCAGAUUGAACGCUGGCGGCAGGCCUAACACAUGCAAGUCGAACGGUAACAGAAAGAAGCUUGCUUCUUUGCUGACGAGUGGCGGACGGGUGAGUAAUGCUUAGGGAACUGCCCAGAGGUGGGGGAUAACUAUUGGAAACGAUAGCUAAUACCACAUAUGACCUACGGGUGAAAGGGGGCUUCGGCUCUUGCCUUUGGAUGUACCUAAGUGAGAUUAGCUUGUUGGUGAGGUAAUGGCUCACCAAGGCGACGAUCUCUAGCUGGUUUGAGAGGAUGAUCAGCCACACUGGAACUGAGACACGGUCCAGACUCCUACGGGAGGCAGCAGUGGGGAAUAUUGCACAAUGGGGGAAACCCUGAUGCAGCCAUGCCGCGUGUGUGAAGAAGGCCUUCGGGUUGUAAAGCACUUUCAGUCGUGAGGAAAGGUAGCUGGUUAAUACCCAGUUACUGUGACGUUAGCGACAGAAGAAGCACCGGCUAACUCCGUGCCAGCAGCCGCGGUAAUACGGAGGGUGCGAGCGUUAAUCGGAAUUACUGGGCGUAAAGCGCAUGCAGGCGGUCUGUUAAGCCAGAUGUGAAAGCCCGGGGCUCAACCCCGGAAUAGCAUUUGGAACUGGCAGACUAGAGUUUUGUAGAGGGGGGUAGAAUUUCAGGUGUAGCGGUGAAAUGCGUAGAGAUCUGAAGGAAUACCAGUGGCGAAGGCGGCCCCCUGGACAAAAACUGACGCUCAGAUGCGAAAGCGUGGGUAGCAAACAGGAUUAGAUACCCUGGUAGUCCACGCCGUAAACGAUGUCAACUAGCUGCUUGUGACUUUAAGUUGUGGGUGGCGGAGCUAACGCAUUAAGUUGACCGCCUGGGGAGUACGGCCGCAAGGUUAAAACUCAAAUGAAUUGACGGGGGCCCGCACAAGCGGUGGAGCAUGUGGUUUAAUUCGAUGCAACGCGAAGAACCUUACCAUCCCUUGACAUCCAGAGAAUUUUCUAGAGAUAGAAUUGUGCCUUCGGGAACUCUGAGACAGGUGCUGCAUGGCUGUCGUCAGCUCGUGUUGUGAAAUGUUGGGUUAAGUCCCGCAACGAGCGCAACCCUUGUCCUUAUUUGCCAGCACUUCGGGUGGGAACUUUAAGGAGACUGCCGGUGAUAAACCGGAGGAAGGUGGGGACGACGUCAAGUCAUCAUGGCCCUUACGGGAUGGGCUACACACGUGCUACAAUGGCGCAUACAGAGGGCUGCAAGCUAGCGAUAGUGAGCGAAUCCCUUAAAGUGUGUCGUAGUCCGGAUUGGAGUCUGCAACUCGACUCCAUGAAGUCGGAAUCGCUAGUAAUCGCAAAUCAGAAUGUUGCGGUGAAUACGUUCCCGGGCCUUGUACACACCGCCCGUCACACCAUGGGAGUGGGUUGCUCCAGAAGUGAUUAGUCUAACCUUCGGGGGGACGAUCACCACGGAGUGAUUCAUGACUGGGGUGAAGUCGUAACAAGGUAGCCCUAGGGGAACCUGGGGCUGGAUCACCUCCUUA